rnacentral:ncRNA from 1 species
ACCAAGGAGUCUAACAUGUGCGCGAGCCAAUGGGUCCCUCAAAACCCAGAGGCGCAAUGAAACGUGAAGGCGCGGCCUCGUGCCGUGCCGAGUUGCGAUCCCGGGCCGCCCAGGGGUCCGAUGAAGGGAGCAGCAACGGCCCGCCCCACACGCUCACGUCGUGGGGGCGGCGCUAGAGCGCGCACGUUGGCACCAGAAAGAUGGUGAACUAUGCCCGGGCAGGACGAGGCCAGAGGAAACUCUGGUGGAGGUCCGAAGAGCUUCUGACGUGCAAAUCGAUCGUCCGACCCAGGUAUAGGGGCAACGGUGCCGGCUUGGCACAACGGUGCCAAGCCGGCACCGUUUGUGCGCAGGAAAAUCCUGGAUGGUACGCAAGUGAAUAAAGUCACCAACCAUCAAAACUUCAUUGAUUUUUGGAGAAGGACGAUGACUGAGACGCCUCCUAUACCCCGUUGGGCGUCAAUCCACCCACGGAAAUACAUGACGACCUACGGAAACCGGAUCCACCAGGGAUGACAUACGAAAACAUCUCCCGCCGUGUUCUACGGCUACUGGUCC